GAUGAACGCUGGCGGCGUGCCUAAUACAUGCAAGUCGAGCGAACAGACGAGGAGCUUGCUCCUCUGACGUUAGCGGCGGACGGCUGAGUAACACGUGGAUAACCUACCUAUAAGACUGGGAUAACUUCGGGAAACCGGAGCUAAUACCGGAUAAUAUAUUGAACCGCAUGGUUCAAUAGUGAAAGACGGUUUUGCUGUCACUUAUAGAUGGAUCCGCGCCGCAUUAGCUAGUUGGUAAGGUAACGGCUUACCAAGGCAACGAUGCGUAGCCGACCUGAGAGGGUGAUCGGCCACACUGGAACUGAGACACGGUUCAGACUCCUACGGGAGGCAGCAGUAGGGAAUCUUCCGCAAUGGGCGAAAGCCUGACGGAGCAACGCCGCGUGAGUGAUGAAGGUCUUCGGAUCGUAAAACUCUGUUAUUAGGGAAGAACAAAUGUGUAAGUAACUAUGCACGUCUUGACGGUACCUAAUCAGAAAGCCACGGCUAACUACGUG
rnacentral:rRNA from 1 species